rnacentral:lncRNA from 1 species
ACCAAUUAAGUAACAAGCUCAAUAUUUGAGAUUCAAUUUACUUCUUACCAGUGAACAGGUUCCUGAAGAUAUGUGACACACAGGGUACCUAUGAGGACAGCAACUGGCAUUGUCUUCACAACAUGUGGCACCCUCGAGAGGGCAGCAUCCCCAGAUAAAGCACGAGCCAAGUAAUUCCUCGAGACAGCAGCAAGUAUCGCUCUCGGGGCAUACAGAAAACUCAUCACAAAUAUUGUCAGGCUUGGAUGGAGAUGGAGGAGACGGACCUGGGUUUGGUGGAUUUUUGCUAGUCUUGAUUGGGUAAGAUGGCUCCAUGGCUAUUCCACAUAGACCGGAUUUGGCAGCCACAUUACGCUGCAUCCUGAUGUAGCCCUUUUCUCCCCAAUAUUCACCCCACGAGUUUCUAAUAAUCCAGUAAUCAAGACCAUCUUCGGUGCCAUAUCCGACAGCAUUC